CGAAACGUCGGCCAUUGCUUCUCUCCAGAGAUGCUGCCGGUCCCGCUGAGUUACUCCAGCUUUGUGUCCAUCUUCAAAUGACGUCACGCGCUCCAGACGGCUGUGCGUACGCAUGGAAUCACGCCCGACCUUCGCCGGACCAUCGUGGCUCAACGCGACCACGAGGUCGCGUAAUUUGCGUGCCAAGGACACGCAAGUGGGACAGGCUCUUCAGCACUCACUAUCAAACAAACCAAAGCCU